UACGUAGGGCGCAAGCGUUGUCCGGAAUUAUUGGGCGUAAAGAGCUCGUAGGCGGUCUGUCGCGUCCGUUGUGAAAACUCGAGGCUCAACCUCGGGCUUGCAGUGGAUACGGGCAGACUAGAGUGCGGUAGGGGAGACUGGAAUUCCUGGCGUAGCGGUGGAAUGCGCAGAUAUCAGGAGGAACACCGAUGGCGAAGGCAGGUCUCUGGGCCGCAACUGACGCUGAGGAGCGAAAGCGUGGGGAGCGAACAGG
rnacentral:rRNA from 1 species